rnacentral:tRNA from 1 species
GCAUUGGUGGUGUAAUGGUAGAAUUCUCACCUGCCACGCGGGAGACCUGGGUAUGAUUCCCGGCCAAUGCA